AAAAGCUCUUUUGGAAAAAAGAAUUGAAAAAGAAAAAUAAAAAAAGAAAAAGGGGAGAAGCCCCUGGAAAUCGGAUCCCGCAGCCCAACUCUUCCACCUGGCUAUUUUUUUUUUCCCUCCCCGGCCCGUUAGCGCGGCCCAGUGCUCCUCCCCCUUUCCCUCUGCGCUCGGCCCGCACACCUUCUCUCCCUGGCCGGCUGACAUGCGGGCCCCACUUGGCGGCGCUCGUCUCCCUCCUCUUGCCGUGAGCGAGUAGGACUCGGCCGGGAAAUUUCCCACCGAAUCGUAUCCGUGGACUCCGGGAUUUCCUUGCCAAAUCGACUAACCGACCCCC
rnacentral:lncRNA from 1 species